UCUCCGGGCACGGCACGUGAGCCGGUCUCCACGCGACUCCCCAGCCAUGGCGGCCGUCCUUCUCACGCUCCCGACGCAAUCCGCUCUACCCUUAUCCUUCCGGCCGCCUAGGAAAAAGACCCCGAUACCCCUCUCAGCCCUCGCCACCGCGUACAGGGCGCGAGCUCCGUACCCGCUGAUGGAGGGGCAGUCUCGUCGUUUCCACCGGCUGCCCUCCGGCCUCAACAUGGAGGUCAUCUUCCAGAAGGGCCUCUCGUCGGCCGCGGUGGCGGCGGCCGCGGCGGAGGAGGAGGCGGAGAAAGGAAGGCGCCCUCCGCCUCUGGUGUUCGUCCACGGGAGCUUCCACGCAGCCUGGUGCUGGGCCGAACGCUGGCUCCCCUUCUUCUCCCGCGCCGGCUUAGACUGCUACGCCCUCAGCCUCUUGGGCCAGGGUGAAAGUGAUGUGCCUACAGGAGCAGUAGCAGGCACUCUCCAGACACAUACAAGUGAUAUAGCUGAUUUCAUCCGAAAAGAGGUCAGCCUGCCACCCGUUUUGAUUGGACAUUCAUUUGGAGGACUCAUUGUGCAGUCAUACAUUUCAAACAUGAUGGAUCAGUAUUCCUCCAGUCAAACAUCUUCUGAUGAUAGGAAUGCUUGUCACCCACUGCUUGCAGGAGCUGUGCUUGUAUGUUCUGUUCCUCCUUCUGGAAAUAGUGGUCUAGUGUGGCGGUAUCUCAUGACCAAGCCGAUUGCCGCUAUUAAGUUUAUUCCUUUAUCAGGUAACGCUGAGCUUGGCUGCAAAAGCUUUUGCAAAUUCUCUGCCCCUUUGCAGAGAAACAUUUUUUUCUUCAACAAUGGAAGAUCAACUAGUCCUAAGGUAUCAGGAGCUAAUGAAAGAAAGUUCGAAGCUGCCAUUAUUCGACCUAAAAAAGCUUAAUGCAUCUUUGCCUGUACCUUCAGUGUCAAAGAAUUCUAUACAACUCCUUGUAAUGGGUUCAAGUGAUGAUUUCAUAGUUGACGCAGAAGGGCUUCAUGAAACAGCAAAGUUUUAUGAUAUGCAUCCAGUUUGCGUGGAAGAUGUUGCCCAUGAUAUGAUGUUAGAUUCUUCAUGGGAAAAAGGUGCAGAAAUAAUUUUGUCAUGGCUGAAGAACUUACAUUAUGAGAAAAUUCCUUGAUUAGUUGACAAGAUCUUCUAGAGCUUUCCUUUUCCUAUAACUUUUGAUUUAGUGCCAUAAUUUUUCUUGUCUGUGCAAAUUAUUUGAAAUUCCAGAUUGAUAUGCACCACUUGAAAAGGUCACAACUGUCAUGCUAACAAUAUAACGGAAAUACAAGCUUUAUUCUUUUCUUAUUAUUUAUGAAGGUUGUUCUCUUUGAUGUUUCCAAACCUA